rnacentral:rRNA from 1 species
AUGAAGGGACAGUAUACGUCAAAAUCAGCAGGCCCACUUGCAAAAGAAGCUAAAGAAGCUAUUAUCAGGAGGAAACAACAACUACAAGAAAAAAGGAGUAAGAGAUGCAGGAAUACACAGGAAACAACCAAUAAAAUAGAAGAAGGUGCUUCACGGAAGAGAAAGGAACAAAUCAAUGAAAUAAGAGAUGUCAAGCGUUCAAGGAGAAAUGGGAGGGACAAUGACCUUCAAAGCAACAUCAUAGAAACAAGCAGCAGCACUACGUCCAGAAGUUAUGAUAGCACGAUAUGGAACUUUGGAAAGCCAACAUAUAGAUGCGAACAUUGCAAUGCAAUACUAUGGUGUGAGGAAAGAUUAAAUUCUCAUAAAGGAACCAAAAAACCUUCUUUCGGAAUUUGCUGUAAACAAGGUAAGAUUGACCUACCAAAGAUAGCAUAUCCUCCACCUUAUCUCGCAGGACUAUUAACAGGUGAAGGAAGUGAUGCAACAAACUUCAAAGAAAACAUCAGGUCAUACAACUCAAUGUUCUCAUUCACAUCAAUGGGAGGAGCUGUUGACAAAGAAAUAAACAAAGGCAAAGGACCAUAUGUUUUUAGACUGCAUGGCCAGAACUACCACCAUAUCGGAAGUCUACUACCUGAAGAAGGUAACAAACCUCGAUUCGCCCAGCUAUACAUCUAUCAGACAGAAAAUGAGGUUCAAAACAGGAUAGAUGCUUCAAGAUGCAAUGAUAAAAAAUCAACGGUGAACACUGCCAUUGUCGAAAAACUACAAAAUAUGCUUGAUGAGAACAACAUCCUCGCGAAAUCUUUCAGAAUGGCAAGAGAUAGAUUCAAAGAAGAAGACUACCACGAUUACACACUUCGGAUACUUGGGAAAAGGAACGGAACACACAACCUUCCAUCUGCAUCGGAAGUUGCAGCAUUGGUUGUAAGAGAUCCAACUGGAGAGAGUGAAGGACGAGACAUCGUUGUCGAGUACAAAAAUAUGGAACCUCACAGAAUAUCAGAAAUCCAUCCAAAGUUCAUGUCGAUGCAAUACCCGAUGUUGUUUCCAUACGGAGAAGACGGCUUCAAGCUUGAAAUACCUUACAAGCGAAGAAAAGAAGGUGACAAAAGCAGGAAAUAUGUAACUAUGCUGGACUACUACGCAUACUACCUACAGCAAAGACCUGACCAAGGAAUGUCACUGCUAACGUCUAGACAUCUAUCGCUGCAAUUUUGGGUAGAUGUUUACACAUGCAUUGAGCAAAACAGACUAAACUGGAUCAGGAAUAAUCAAGGGAAGUUACGAACUGAACUUUAUAGUGGACUGCAAGACGCGAUUGAGCGAGGGGACACCAGAACAGAGCAGGUUGGAAAGAUGAUAAUUGUACCUUCAUCUUUUACAGGAGGCAGAAGAUACAAGGCACAGAACUUGCAAGACGCUUUUGCAAUAUGCCGUUGGGCUGGAUAUCCAGACCUGUUUAUAACAUUCACAUGCAAUGCAAAGUGGCCCGAGAUCCAAUACAUGCUAGAUGAAGCAGGAGGAGGCCUAAUCCAGCCGACCGGCCAGAUAUUGUUGAUCGAGUAUUCAUGA